CAGGGAGACAACAACUGAUCGUGAUGUCUGAGUUAUUGAUACUUAGGCCAUGAUCCUGUCACCUUAGGUCGAUCGGUACCUCAACAUUAUUUCAAAGGUUGAUGAGUAAUCGUCAUGAGAUUGGAAGAGAUGUUUAGUUCCUAAACUUGUCUAGGUCACACCCCGCAAGGGUUACUCCUGGGCCAUUAGCUCAGGUGGUUAGAGCGCACCCCUGAUAAGGGUGAGGUCCCUGGUUCAAGUCCAGGAUGGCCCAUUCGUUGUUGGGGGUAUAGCUCAGUUGGUAGAGCGCCUGCUUUGCAAGCAGGAUGUCAGCGGUUCGAGUCCGCUUACCUCCACUGAUCAACUACCUGAUAACUCAAAUUGGAGAUUGUUAUUUGUUAAAUGUGAUUUAGAUGUUGUUCAACUGAAGGAACCUAGCUUCCUAUCACUCCUGAAUUAAUUUUAGGCUGAUAAGACGCUGGGCUCACUGAAUGUUCUAAGGGACAUUCAGUUUUUUCAGCAGAACCUUGACAACUGCAUAGGAAAAUCUAGAAAAAUAAAGCAUCUCAUAGAUGCAUAGAAGUUUUUUCAUUUUUUAAUGAUCAGAUUUUUAUGUUCAAUUCUUGAGUUAGAGCAAAUUUUCUAUUACUUAAUUCAUUUAGAAAUAAGUGAUGACUAAUUAAUUUUAGAUAAGUUUAAUAGAUUAAU
rnacentral:tRNA from 1 species